GACGUAGGGGGCAAGCGUUGUUCGGAAUUAUUGGGCGUAAAGCGCUCGUAGGCGGGAUUGGAAGUCCGUGUUGAAAGACCUCGGCCUCAAACUGGAGGGUCCGGCUCGGAUACUCUAAUUCUUGGAGGCAAUCAGAGGAUGAUGGAAUUCCCGGUGUAGCGGUGAAAAUGCGUAGAUAUCGGGAGGAACACCAGUGGCGAAGGCGGAUCGA
rnacentral:rRNA from 1 species